rnacentral:rRNA from 1 species
UAGUAACGGCGAGUGAAGCGGCAAAAGCUCAAAUUUGAAAUCUGGUACCUUUGGUGCCCGAGUUGUAAUUUGGAGAGGGCAACUUUGGGACCGUUCCUUGUCUAUGUUCCUUGGAACAGGACGUCAUAGAGGGUGAGAAUCCCGUGUGGCGAGGAGUGCGGUUCUAUGUAAAGUGCCUUCGAAGAGUCGAGUUGUUUGGGAAUGCAGCUCUAAGUGGGUGGUAAAUUCCAUCUAAAGCUAAAUAUUGGCGAGAGACCGAUAGCGAACAAGUACAGUGAUGGAAAGAUGAAAAGAACUUUGAAAAGAGAGUGAAAAAGUACGUGAAAUUGUUGAAAGGGAAGGGCAUUUGAUCAGACAUGGUGUUUUGCGCCCUCUGCUCCUUGUGGGUGGGGGAAUCUCGCAGUUCACUGGGCCAGCAUCAGUUUUGGUGGCAGGAUAAAUCCGUAGGAAUGUAACUUGCUUCGGGAAGUAUUAUAGCCUAUGGGAAUACUGCCAGCUGGGACUGAGGACUGCGACGU